rnacentral:misc_RNA from 1 species
AACUUUCAACAAUGGAUCACUUGGUUCUGGCAACGACGAAGAACGCAGCGAAAUGCGAUAAGUAAUGUGAAUUGCAGAAUUCAGUGAAUCAUCGAAUCUUUGAACGCACAUUGCGCCCCCUGGUAUUCCGGGGGGCACACCUGUUCGAGCGCCAUUUCUACCCUAGAGCCCUGCUCUGUGAUGGGCCUCGUCCUCGCGGACGGGCCUGAAACCCGUGGGCGCCGUCGUCCGAGCCCGAGCGUAGCAAGAGAAAUCCCUCGCUCGGAUCCUCGUACGGUGGUCGCCCCGAACCCCAUUUUUACAAAAGGUUGGCCUCGGAUCAGGUGGGGAUACCCGCUGAACUUAAGCAUAUCAAUAAGCGGAGGCU